rnacentral:ncRNA from 1 species
GAUAACUGUCUUGUGGCGGCCAAGCGUUCAUAGAGACGUCGCUUUUUGAUCCUUCGAUGUCGGCUCUUCCUAUCUUGUGAAGCAGAAUUCACCAAGCGUUGGAUUGUUCACCCACUAAUAGGGAACAUGAGCUGGGAUUAGGCCAUCAUUUCCUACUAAGCAUGUUGAGAUCCCUUUUUGUCCAUAGACCAAAGCAAAGCUAGGUC